AAGUGAAUAUUCCCUGCACCGUUGAAAGCAGGUGCCCCGCAAGGGGCUUAAUAUCCCGCCGAGGUGAGGACUUUUCCGCGAAGUUGAGGCUGCCUUCUGGCAGUGGUUAAAAGUCUUUGCCCGGCCAAUGCAGGGCAAAGACUUUUAUCUUAAGAAG
rfam:Bellilinea caldifistulae strain GOMI-1 contig_22, whole genome shotgun sequence.